GACGAACGCUGGCGGCGUGCUUAACACAUGCAAGUCGAACGGAAAGGCCCUGCGUUUGUGGGGUGCUCGAUUGGCGAACGGGUGAGUAACACGUGAGUAACCUGCCCUUGACUUUGGGAUAACUUCAGGAAACUGGGGCUAAUACCGGAUAGGAGCUCCUGCUGCAUGGUGGGGGUUGGAAAGUUUCGGCGGUUGGGGAUGGACUCGCGGCUUAUCAGCUUGUUGGUGGGGUAGUGGCUGACCAAGGCUUUGACGGGUAGCCGGCCUGAGAGGGUGAACGGCCACAUUGGGACUGAGAUACGGACCAGACUCCUACGGGAGGCAGCAGUGGGGAAUAUUGCACAAUGGGCGGACGCCUGAUGCAGCAACGCCGCGUGCGGGAUGACGGCCUUCGGGUUGUAAACCGCUUUCGCCUGUGACGAAGCGUGAGUGACGGUAAUGGGUAAAGAAGCACCGGCUAACUACGUG
rnacentral:rRNA from 1 species